ensembl:lncRNA PVT1 Pvt1 oncogene
ACUUGCCUGUGUGGGGCCCUGCCCUUCUCUUGAGAGGCAGGCGGGCCCUAGCUGCAGCGUCAAGGUCUGGGGAUUCUGUGGCUCUGUAGGGUGAAGGGCACUGGAGACCUACCAGGGGCUGGGCCAUUGGAGUGGUGGGUGCUGGGGAGCUUCCGUGGGCCCCUCCAGGUCCACUCCUUGCUCUUCUCUGCCUUGUUUUGUGCCCAGAAGGCUGACCUGUGUGGAUGCAUUAUCAGGGUGGAUGCAACACAGGGCUGCCAUGCUCUCUGGUAUCAGUUUGGAAGGCACUGGCAGGAUGGGAAGGCAGGCGGGGAGUGAGGUCAGGGGGCCUAUCCUUCCACUGCCUCCCUGCUGCUCCCUGACUGAUUCAGACAUCUGAAGGGUCAUCAUGGAGAAGAGGCGGCACCUUAAGGACAGCAGUGACAAUCUCUGAUGUGGCAAUUACAUAAGAGCCAGUCUUGGUGCUCUGUGUUCACCUGGUUCAUCUGAGGAGCUGCAUCUACCCUGCCCAUGCCAUAGAUCCUGCCCUGUUUGCUUCUCCUGUUGCUGCUAGUGGACAUGAGGUAACCACAGCCUAGUUCUGUGAUAAGCUCUUCACACCUGUACCCAUAUGGACUGUGGGAGAGUUUCUCUGAUAUGGACUGUGAUGCGGAAGGACAGAAUAACGGGCUCCCAGAUUCACAAGCCCCACCAAGAGGAUCACCCCAGGAACGCUUGGAGGCUGAGGAGUUCACUGAGGCUACUGCAUCUUGAGACUCAGGAUGAAGACCCAGCUUGGGGCUGUCAAAGGUUUUUUGCAUGUCUGACACCCAUGACUCCACCUGGACCUUAUGGCUCCACCCAGAAGCAAUUCAGCCCAACAGGAGGACAGCUUCAACCCAUUACGAUUUCAUCUCUGCCCCAACCACUCAGCAGCAAGCACCUGUUACCUGUCCACCCCCACCCCUUCCCCCAAACUGCCUUUGAAAAAUCCCUAACCUAUGAGCUUUGAAUAAGAUGAGUACGAACUUCAUCGCCCACGUGGCGUGGCCGGCCUCGUGUCUAUUAAAUUCUUUUUCUACUACAA